rnacentral:rRNA from 1 species
CCCUUAGAUGUCCUGGGCCGCACGCGCGCUACACUGAACGGAUCAGCGCGUUUUCCCUUCCCGAGAGGGACGGGUAACCUGCUGAACCCCGUUCGUGGUAGGGAUCGGGGCUUGCAAUUAUUCCCCGUGAACCAGGAAUGCCCAGUAAGUGCAAGUCAUAAGCUUGCGUUGAUUACGUCCCUGCCCUUUGUACACACCGCCCGUCGCUACUACCGAUUGAACGUUUUAGUGAGGUACUCGGACUGAGCCUCAGAAGAUUCACGUCUUUUGUGCUGCUCGGGAAGAUUCCCAAACUUGAUCGUUUAGAGGAAGUAAAAGUCGUAACA